rnacentral:rRNA from 1 species
AGUGAAUAGAUACCCCGGUAGUCCUGGCCAUAAACGAUGAUCACUAGGUGUAGGAGGCUUCGACCCCUUCUGCGCCGCCGCUAACGCAUUAAGUGAUCCGCCUGGGGAGUACGGCCGCAAGGUUAAAACUCAAAGGAAUUGACGGGGGCCCGCACAAGCAGUGGAGCAUGUGGUUUAAUUCGAUGCUACGCGAAAACCUUACCAGGGUUUGACAUCCCGGUGUAAGCCCCUAGAAAUAGGGGCCCCCUUCGGGCACCGGUGACAGGUGGUGCAUGGUUGUCGUCAGCUCGUGCCGUGAGGUGUUGGAUUAAGUUCCGCAACGAGCGCAACCCUCGUUGCUAGUUGCCAUCAUUAAGUUGGGCACUCUAGCGAGACUGCCAGCGUCAAGCUGGAGGAAGGUGGGGAUGACGUCAAAUCAUCAUGCCCCUUACAUCCUGGGCUACACACGUGCUACAAUGGCCGGUACAACGGGUUGCCACACCGCGAGGUGGAGCGAAUCCUCAAAGCCGGUCUCAGUUCGGAUUGCAGGCUGCAAC